AUAUCAGUCAUGCAUAGCAUAUCAAUAAGCGGAGGAAAAGAAACUAACAAGGAUUCCCUUAGUAACGGCGAGUGAAGCGGGAAGAGCUCAAAUUUCGAAAUCUUCAAGGUUUUACCUUGACGAAUUGUAGUUUAAAGAAGUGUUUUCUGUUGAAGUUUUGGUAAAAGUUCUUUGGAAUAGGACAUCAUAGAGGGUGAGAAUCCCGUAUUUGACCAUUACUUUCAGCUUUGUGAUACACUUUCAAAGAGUCGGAUUGUUUGGGAAUGCAGUCCAAAAUGGGUGGUAAAUUUCAUCUAAAGCUAAAUAUUGGCGAGAGACAGAUAGCGAACAAGUACCGUGAGGGAAAGAUGAAAAGAACUUUGAAAAGAGAGUUAAACAGUACGUGAAAUUGUCAAAAGGGAAGCGUUUGACACCAGUGUUGUUUUCUCGAAAAUCAAUUAAAAAGAGUUGGAUUUUGUGUUGUAUUGACUUUAUCAGCUUUCUUCACUCUUUUCCAGCUUUUUUUAAUGCACUUUUCGUUUAACAAGUCAACAUCAGUUUCUUUUGUUGUAAAAAGGUCAUUGGAAGGUGGCUUUCUCUUCGGAGAAAGUGUUUAUAGCCUUUGACUCAUGCAAUCGGAGAGACUGAGGUCUGCAGCGUAGAUCCUUCGGGGUUAGAUACAUUUGUGCUAAGUUAUAACUUUUCAUAGACAACUUGUUGACUAUGUUUAGUCUUGUAGCUUACUCGCUUAUGCUAUUUUACCUACGCUUAGGAUGUUGAACUCUAUCACACACA
rnacentral:rRNA from 1 species